UACGUAGGGCGCAAGCGUUAUCCGGAAUUAUUGGGCGUAAAGCGUCUGUAGGUGGCUUUUUAAGUCCGCCGUCAAAUCCCAGGGCUCAACCCCGGGUCGGCCGUGCGAACUGUCGAGCUGGAGCACUGUAGAGGCAGGUGGAAUUCCGGGUGUAGCGGUGGAAUGCGUAGAGAUCCGGAAGAACACCGGUGGCGAAGGCGGCCUGCUGGGCAGUGGCUGACGCUGAGGCGCGACAGCGUGGGGAGCAAACAGG
rnacentral:rRNA from 1 species